GAAUUAUUAGCUCAGUUGGUUAGAGCAUACUCUUGAUAAGGGUAAUGUCUUUGGUUCAAUUCCAAAAUAGUUCA
rnacentral:tRNA from 1 species